GGUUAAGCGACUAAGCGUACACGGUGGAUGCCCUGGCAGUCAGAGGCGAUGAAGGACGUGCUAAUCUGCGAAAAGCGACGGCGAGGUGAUAUGAACCCUUGACCCGUCGAUGUCCGAAUGGGGAAACCCAGUGUGAUUCGUCACACUAUCGUUAACUGAAUACAUAGGUUAACGAGGCGAACCGGGGGAACUGAAACAUCUAAGUACCCCGAGGAAAAGAAAUCAACCGAGAUUCCCCCAGUAGCGGCGAGCGAACGGGGAGCAGCCCGGAGUCUGAAUCAGCUUGUGUGUUAGUGGAAGCGUCUGGAAAGUCGCACGGUACAGGGUGACAGUCCCGUACACGAAAAUGCACAGGUUGUGAACUCGAAGAGUAGGGCGGGACACGUGGUAUCCUGUCUGAAUAUGGGGGGACCAUCCUCCAAGGCUAAAUACUCCUGACUGACCGAUAGUGAACCAGUACCGUGAGGGAAAGGCGAAAAGAACCCCGGCGAGGGGAGUGAAAAAGAACCUGAAACCGUGUACGUACAAGCAGUGGGAGCACCUUCGGGUGUGACUGCGUACCUUUUGUAUAAUGGGUCAGCGACUUAUAUUCUGUAGCAAGGUUAACCGUAUAGGGGAGCCGCAGGGAAACCGAGUCUUAACUGGGCGUUAAGUUGCAGGGUAUAGACCCGAAACCCGGUGAUCUAGCCAUGGGCAGGUUGAAGGUUGGGUAACACUAACUGGAGGACCGAACCGACUAAUGUUGAAAAAUUAGCGGAUGACCUGUGGCUGGGGGUGAAAGGCCAAUCAAACCGGGAGAUAGCUGGUUCUCCCCGAAAGCUAUUUAGGUAGCGCCUCGUGAACUCAUCUUCGGGGGUAGAGCACUGUUUCGGCUAGGGGGCCAUCCCGGCUUACCAACCCGAUGCAAACUACGAAUACCGAAGAAUGUUAUCACGGGAGACACACGGCGGGUGCUAACGUCCGUCGUGAAGAGGGAAACAACCCAGACCGCCAGCUAAGGUCCCAAAGUCAUGGUUAAGUGGGAAACGAUGUGGGAAGGCACAGACAGCCAGGAUGUUGGCUUAGAAGCAGCCAUCAUUUAAAGAAAGCGUAAUAGCUCACUGGUCGAGUCGGCCUGCGCGGAAGAUGUAACGGGGCUAAACCAUGCACCGAAGCUGCGGCAGCGACGCUUAUGCGUUGUUGGGUAGGGGAGCGUUCUGUAAGCCGUUGAAGGUGUGCUGUGAGGCAUGCUGGAGGUAUCAGAAGUGCGAAUGCUGACAUAAGUAACGAUAAAGCGGGUGAAAAGCCCGCUCGCCGGAAGACCAAGGGUUCCUGUCCAACGUUAAUCGGGGCAGGGUGAGUCGACCCCUAAGGCGAGGCCGAAAGGCGUAGUCGAUGGGAAACAGGUUAAUAUUCCUGUACUUGGUGUUACUGCGAAGGGGGGACGGAGAAGGCUAUGUCAGCCGGGCGACGGUUGUCCCGGUUUAAGCGUGUAGGUGUGUGUUCCAGGCAAAUCCGGUUCACUUUAACACUGAGGCGUGAUGACGAGGCACUACGGUGCUGAAGUGAUAAAUGCCCUGCUUCCAGGAAAAGCCUCUAAGCAUCAGGUAACACGAAAUCGUACCCCAAACCGACACAGGUGGUCAGGUAGAGAAUACCAAGGCGCUUGAGAGAACUCGGGUGAAGGAACUAGGCAAAAUGGUGCCGUAACUUCGGGAGAAGGCACGCUGAUAUGUAGGUGAAGUCCCUGCGGACGGAGCUGAAAUCAGUCGAAGAUACCAGCUGGCUGCAACUGUUUAUUAAAAACACAGCACUGUGCAAACACGAAAGUGGACGUAUACGGUGUGACGCCUGCCCGGUGCCGGAAGGUUAAUUGAUGGGGUUAGCGGCAACGCGAAGCUCUUGAUCGAAGCCCCGGUAAACGGCGGCCGUAACUAUAACGGUCCUAAGGUAGCGAAAUUCCUUGUCGGGUAAGUUCCGACCUGCACGAAUGGCGUAAUGAUGGCCAGGCUGUCUCCACCCGAGACUCAGUGAAAUUGAACUCGCUGUGAAGAUGCAGUGUACCCGCGGCAAGACGGAAAGACCCCGUGAACCUUUACUAUAGCUUGACACUGAACACUGGUCCUUGAUGUGUAGGAUAGGUGGGAGGCUUUGAAGCGUGGACGCCAGUCUGCGUGGAGCCGUCCUUGAAAUACCACCCUUUAAUGGCUGGUGUUCUAACGUGGACCCGUGAUCCGGGUUGCGGACAGUGUCUGGUGGGUAGUUUGACUGGGGCGGUCUCCUCCCAAAGAGUAACGGAGGAGCACGAAGGUUAGCUAAUCCUGGUCGGACAUCAGGAGGUUAGUGCAAUGGCAUAAGCUAGCUUGACUGCGAGAGUGACGGCUCGAGCAGGUGCGAAAGCAGGUCAUAGUGAUCCGGUGGUUCUGAAUGGAAGGGCCAUCGCUCAACGGAUAAAAGGUACUCCGGGGAUAACAGGCUGAUACCGCCCAAGAGUUCAUAUCGACGGCGGUGUUUGGCACCUCGAUGUCGGCUCAUCACAUCCUGGGGCUGAAGUAGGUCCCAAGGGUAUGGCUGUUCGCCAUUUAAAGUGGUACGCGAGCUGGGUUUAGAACGUCGUGAGACAGUUCGGUCCCUAUCUGCCGUGGGCGCUGGAGAAUUGAGGGGGGCUGCUCCUAGUACGAGAGGACCGGAGUGGACGCAUCACUGGUGUUCGGGUUGUCAUGCCAAUGGCACUGCCCGGUAGCUAAAUGCGGAAGAGAUAAGUGCUGAAAGCAUCUAAGCACGAAACUUGCCCCGAGAUGAGUUCUCCCUGAGACUUUAAGUCUCCUGAAGGAACGUUGAAGACGACGACGUUGAUAGGCCGGGUGUGUAAGCGCAGCGAUGCGUUGAGCUAACCGGUACUAAUGAACCGUGAGGCUUAACCUU
rnacentral:rRNA from 1 species